GUCACGCUGUAAACGAUGUCGAUUUGGAGUUUGUUGCUUAGAGUGAUGGGCUCCGAAGCUAACGCGAUAAAUCGACCGCUGGGGAGUACGGCCGCAAGGUUAAAACUCAAAUGAAUUGACGGGGGCCCGCACAAGCGGUGGAGCAUGUGGUUUAAUUCGAUGCAACGCGAAGAACCUUACCUGGUCUUGACAUCCAUAGAAUUCUGCAGAGAUGUGGGAGUGCCUUCGGGAACUAUGAGACAGGUGCUGCAUGGCUGUCGUCAGCUCGUGUUGUGAAAUGUUGGGUUAAGUCCCGCAACGAGCGCAACCCUUAUUCUUUGUUGCCAGCGAUUUGGUCGGGAACUCAAAGGAGACUGCCGUUGAUAAAGCGGAGGAAGGUGGGGACGACGUCAAGUCAUCAUGGCCCUUACGACCAGGGCUACACACGUGCUACAAUGGCGUAUACAAAGGGAAGCGAAGGUGCGAGCUGGAGCGGAUCUCAUAAAGUACGUCUAAGUUCGGAUUGGAGUCUGCAACUCGACUCCAUGAAGUCGGAAUCGCUAGUAAUCGUAGAUCAGAAUGCUACGGUGAAUACGUUCCCGGGCCUUGUACACACCGCCCGUCACACCAUGGGAGUGGGUUGCACCAGAAGUAGAUAGCUUAACCGCGAGGGGGGCGUUUACCACGGUGUGAUUCAUGACUGGGGUGAAGUCGUAACAAGGUAACCA
rnacentral:rRNA from 1 species